GACCUGGUAGCACAAUGUCAGUGCGUCUGCAUUCAAUACCGAUAUCGAUGGGGAAAUAGGUUUAUGCAGAAGAUCCCCGUUCGACUCGGGGUCAGGUCU